UUUGAUCAUGGCUCAGAUUGAACGCUGGCGGGAUGCUUUGCAUGCGAGUCGGAGCAGGCAGCACCGGACUUCGGUCUGGUGGCGAGUGGCGAACGGGGGUGAGUAAUGUAUCAGACGUGCUAGUAGCGGGGAUAACUACGCGAAAGCGCAGCUAUUACUGCGCCCUUCGGGGAAAGCGGGGGACCUUCCGGGCCUCGCACUAUUAAACGGCCGAUAUCGGAUUAGCUAGUUGGUGGGGGUUAACGGCUCACCAAAAGGCGACGAUCAGCUGGUUUGAGGACGACAAACCACACUGGACUGAGACACGGCCAGACUCCUACGGGAGGCAGCAGUGGGAAUUUUUUGGACCAAUGGGGAAACCCUGAUCAAACCCGCGUGUACGAUGAAGGCCUUCGGGUUGUAUAAACACUUUUGGCGGGAAAGAAACGGCGCGGAUAGCUGAUACAGCGACAAUACCUGCAAGAAUAAGCACCGGCUAACUACGUGCCAGCAGCCGCGAUGACCGUAGAAGUGCAAGCGUUAAUCGAGAUUACUGGGCGUAAAGCGUAGAGGCGGUUCGAAAGAUGUGAAAUCCCCAGAGCUUAACUGGAACUGCAUUUUUAACUACCGAGCUGAGUGUGUCAGGGAGGUGGAAUUCCGCGUGUAGCAGUGAAAUGCGUAGAUAUGCGGAGGAACACCGAUGGCGACAGCCUGCAGGACUAACACUGACGCCUCAUGCACAGCGUGGGGAAUGACAAGAGUUAGAUACCCUGGUAGUCCACGCCCUAAAACGAUGUCAACUAGCUGUUGGGGCCUUCGGGCCUUGGUAUGCAACCGGCAGCGUAUGAGGUGGAAACCUGGGGGUACGGUCGCAAGAUUAAAACUCAAAGGAAUUGACGGGGACCGCACAAGCGGUGGAUGAUGUGGAUCAAUUCGAUGCAACAUGAAAAAGCCUUUACCCUUGACAUGUCUGGAAUCGAAGAGAUUUGGGGUAUCGCAAGGAACGGGAACACAGGUGCUGCAUGGCUGUCGUCAGCUCGUGUCGUGAGAUGUUGGGUUAAGUCCGCAACGGGCGCAACCCGCUUGCGUCAUUAGUUGCUACGAGGGCACUCCUAAUGAGACUGCCGGUGACAAACCGGAGGAAGGUGGAUGGCAUCCAGUCCUCAUGGCCCUUAUGGGUAGGGCUUCACACGUCAUACAAUGGUCGGGACAGAGGGUCGCCAACCCGCGAGGAGAUUAAUCCGAAGCCUCCGUAGUCCCGGAUCCGCAGUCUGCAACUCGACUGCGUGAAGUGGAAUCGCUAGUAAUCGCGGAUCAGCGUGUCGCGGUGAAUACGUUCUGGUCUUGUACACACCGCCCGUCACACCAUGGGAGUGGGUUUACCAGAAGUAGUUAGCCUAACCGUAAGGAGGCGAUUACCACGGUAGGAUUCAUGACUGGGGUGAAGUCGUAACAAGGUAA
rnacentral:rRNA from 1 species